ACACAUCAUAUUAAGCAUAUUAAAAUACACCCAAUCCCUUUUUUUUAACUAUAAAAAUACUGCAGUAUUUUUUAUAAUUUUACUUUUGAAAUUUGGCCCAACAAUGAUUUCUCGGCAAUCACUGUGCAUAAUCAGGAAUUCUUGCAAUGAGAAAAAAACUCGCCUGUAAAUUGUUGUCAAAUGUGUAAAAAUCUUGUAACAAUCAAUGUAACGAUUAAUGAACAUGACAUCACAUGUCUUUGUAGACCUACUUCUUAGCAAGUGAGGUGCCUAUUCAUUUCAGUUUAGGUCUUUCACAUUUUUAGAUCUUGAACUCAAUCCCUAGAGAUAAACAGCCCUGGUUGCCAGGGUUUGAAUAGGUCAGAAGAGCACAAUGAUGACUUCACAGGGAUGCUUGAGGUUACCAUGGAAAUGCUGUCGGCUCCCCCUCCCCAAGUCAUCUUCACACAUCUUCAUGUGGGCGGCAGGCAUUUGCUUCCACUGUGGAGUUGACUCCAUCUCCCAAUAGGCCUCUUCUGGAAAUUCCCUCCCCAUGUUAGAUCUGGCAGAGCCACUGGGAGACAGAGCAGCAGAGGGGAGCUGAGUGACACUAGGUGAGAAGCUGUGCGGCCAGAUGACUUGAGCCUGGUUGCUAUGACAGCCAGGAAUUUGCGAACCAAACCAGACCUGGAGAAGAAGUCUCUCCUUGGCCCAAAGAGUUUGCAGUUCCAAGUGGUUCUGCUCAUGGUUCCUGUUGUCUUCUUUGACACCUGCCAGAUGGAAGAACCUCUAAACCUGGGAUUUGGAAAUGUCCCAACAGAAAGGCUAUUUCCAAGCUGGCUGAAGCUUGGAAAUAAAUUCGACGGAAUUUA